CGGGGCCCGCACAAGCGGUGGAGUAUGUGGUUUAAUUCGAUGCAACGCGAAGAACCUUACCUGGUCUUGACAUCCCGGAGACCCUUAGGAAACUAGGGGGUGCUUCCAUCUGGAAGAAUCUGGAGACAGGUGCUGCAUGGCUGUCGUCAGCUCGUGUCGUGAGAUGUUGGGUUAAGUCCCGCAACGAGCGCAACCCUUGCCUUUAGUUGCCAGCAGUUCGGCUGGGCACUCUAAAGGGACUGCCGGUGUUAAACCGGAGGAAGGUGGGGAUGACGUCAAGUCCUCAUGGCCUUUAUGACCAGGGCUACACACGUACUACAAUGGCCGAUACAAAGGGCAGCGACACUGCGAGGUGAAGCCAAUCCCGUAAAAUCGGUCUCAGUCCGGAUUGGAGUCUGCAACUCGACUCCAUGAAGUUGGAAUCGCUAGUAAUCGUGGAUCAGCAUGCCACGGUGAAUACGUUCCCGGGCCUU
rnacentral:rRNA from 1 species